AGUCAUAGGUAUAGUUGGUGUAAGACAUGAGGCUGCCCUGGUAGGGGUAGGGUUAGUAUAUAGAGGUGUAACCUACCUUAAAGUCAUAGGUAUAGUUGGUGUAAGACAUGAGGCUGCCCUGGUAGGGGUAGGGUUAGUAUAUAGAGGUGUAACCUACCUUAAAGUCAUAGGUAUAGUUGGUGUAAGACAUGAGGCUGCCCUGGUAGGGGUAGGGUUAGUAUAUAGAGGUGUAACCUACCUUAAAGUCAUAGGUAUAGUUGGUGUAAGACAUGAGGCUGCCCUGGUAGGGGUAGGGUUAGUAUAUAGAGGUGUAACCUACCUUAAAGUCAUAGGUAUAGUUGGUGUAAGACAUGAGGCUGCCCUGGUAGGGGUAGGGUUAGUAUAUAGAGGUGUAACCUACCUUAAAGUCAUAGGUAUAGUUGGUGUAAGACAUGAGGCUGCCCUGGUAGGGGUAGGGUUAGUAUAUAGAGGUGUAACCUACCUUAAAG